rnacentral:lncRNA from 1 species
AAUAAUCUCGAUGUUUAAAUUUUAUUCUAAUGUUAACCAUGUAAAUUUACUACUGGAUUUUGAAUACUUUACUUCCAUGAAUAGUUUCUUCAUAGUAUAUUUUCCUCUGCCUUAAAUUUGGCCAUUUUGCCCUGACUAUGACCUGUCUUGUUUAAGCCUAACUGGCUAACAAAUGCAGAGCGAACCUCAAAAGGAGAGCAUUGUUUUCACUUUUAAAUAACCUUCUUCAGGGAUUUUCAAACUGUGCUCUAGGGUCCUAGGGGCUCUUUGAAGAUGCCUCUCUAGCCUGUCCGGGAAGGACACAGCAGAGUAGGUGGGGCCCUGGGCCUUCAGCUAAACCUCAACUACAGCAGCUUCACUUUUAUCUUAUUUGUUAGGCUUUCAGGGUUUUGUGCUUAAAAAAAAUUUUUUUAACCAUUAAUUUAAAAACACUCAUGAAUGAUAAUAAUAAUAGUAGCUUUUCUUUAUAGAGCACAUAUCUUGUCCCAGACCCCGCUUUAAAUAUUAAAAAUAUUUAAAUAUUUUUUUAAAAAUCCCUCUAAAAUGUGCUUUCAUCAUCCCUGUUUUACAAAUUAAGAAACUGAGACUUAAGGAAAUAAGCAAUUUACCCACAGCGUCAUAGCUACUAAGUGACAGAUUCUGAAUUCAAAUUUGGGUGCGUCAAUUAAUGUAUUAGUUUAAGCCAGGAAUGACAAAUACAGGGUAAGUGUACCCUCACCCCAUAUUCCCACACCUGAGGCAGACAGGACUAAUGGAUGAAAACAGUCUUUUUUGCUAAUCACCAACACAGCCUUAGAAUCUUUCUCAGCAAGGUGCUAUGGGCCGUCAGUCCAAAUCUAUUGGUUGUGGCAUUAAAUGAGGCCUAUUUACUUCCCCUACUUUAAGGUGAGAUAUUUGUGGCCCCACACUUCAGAAUAGGAAGUCUCUUCAGCCCUAAAAGUGUUUGCCAGUUGAUUGUUUUGAUAUUACUAGAAAAACACCAAAUUAUCUUUGAUCCUAGAUGUACUUUAUCAUAAUGAAGUUUUCUGUGAACUAAAAUCCCUAACUGUAUCAUCUUCAUUCUGACCACCUUCUAAUACAGAAGUUUUGUUUCUGUAUUUAUAUAUUUGUAAUCUGUAUAAUUUAUACAUUGAUAAUUAUAAACACCAUACAGUCCUCAUAAUCAGGAUCAGUACGGGUUUUUAAAAAACAAAAAAACAUUCACUUUGAGUAGCCUAGUGGAAUAAAGACCUAAAGUAAUUUAUAUUCUGAGACCUAAUAUUUUAGCUGUGGAGUGGAGGUGGUGAGGGAGAGGAUGGAGAACUCAUGCUUGGGGUAAGUCAGCCAGUUUCCAUAUAGCUGAGAAUUUAGUGGUUUGAAUAACCUUCACUGUUUCCACUACCAGCAUGCCCUGCCCAAGAAUGUCAUAGCCACAGGGCUGGGUGAAUGCCCAAACAUUUUAAAAAAGGAGUAUACACAACCAACCCCCAGCUGAUUUUUUCAACUGCUCUUGCCAGGAGGGAACCAGUAGUUCCUGGGCUGUACCCAUUCUUACCAGGGAGAGCUGGGUGCAAUUAAAGUUUUUCCUGUUAGGUGCAAGACUUUUUGAAUGACUCAUCAUAGUUCCUGCUUAAGACGUGUCAAAGAGGCCCAAGGCUAUAUUUAGGAACUUACUAUGAAAUUGCCUGUCAGUUCCAACCAAUUUUUCCAAUAUAGUAUAUAUGAAGAGUUAGUAGCAAGUAACUUUAAAUACAUGAAAAGGUUUUUGUUGUCAUUUUUUGUUGUUGCUGUAAACUGGUAUUGAAGAUUUUCUUAAACGGAUGGACAUUCCUUUCAUUGUGAAAUGAUUUAACACCCAUUCAGCAUACACAUGACUAUACUGGAAUGACCCUCAUAUGACCAUUGUCAUGGAACCCAUUAAAUUCUUGUUUAAAAAAAGUUUGAAUAUGUCUUAAAAUGUCUUCUAUAUGAAUAAAAAGGAUCUUCCUAAAAGCUCUUUCUGAUGCACUUUUUUUUCUUUUUUUUUUUGAGACGGAGUUUCGCUCUUGUUACCCAGGCUGGAAUGCAGUGGCACAAUCUCGGCUCACUGCAACCUCUGCCUCCUAGGUUCAAGCGAUUCUCCUGCCUCAGCCUCCCGAUUAGCUGGGAUUACAGGCAUGCGCCACCACGCCUGACUAAUUUUGUAUUUUUAGUAGAGACGGGGUUUCUCCAGGUUGGUCAGGCUGGUCUCGAACUCCCGACCUCAGGUGAUCCGCCUGCCUCAGCCUCCCAAAGUGCUGGGAUUACAGGCGUGAGCCCGUAUCAGAGGCGCCUGGCCUCUGAUGCACUCUUGAGUAUUUUUGUAAAAUUAGAGAUUGUUGGACAGUGCUAAGGAGAAUGAAUUAUAGUGAUUGGGUCCAGUGACACUUGGAUAGUGCUACUAAGUAUGAAAUUAUUUUAAGAGAGUUUAAAGAACGACCUCCUGCUGAUGAGAGUGUUGGAAAGUUGGUUGCUGUGUAAGGUCAGCUACACAUGCCUCCUGGUUUUUGCUUUUGUUGAAUAAGAGAAAAGAGAGUAGCCAAUUGUAAGUGGUCGUAUUCCUAGUUGAUCAGGGCUUGCUAAAAAAAAGACAGUCGAAGCCGUUGAUUCCAUUACCGUACAUAUAAGAGUUUUAACCAGGAUUAGUAGCCCACAUGAAGUAGAAAUAGAAAGGCCAACCAAAGAACUAGUGAUUCUAAGGUAAAAUUUCCAGAAAUGUGGAAAAGAACACUUGAGAUUGGAGAUGGUACCAGUUUUAUAUAAAUGGUGAUUGAUAGCUGUUAAGGUUUGAUGAGAAAGGUUCACGUAUGUCUGUUUCUUUCACAAGUUUGUUCCCCUGAUACUUCUUUCUUUUUUUUUUCUGAGACAGUCUCGCUGUGUCACCCAGGCUAGAGUGCAGUGGCACAAUCUCGGCUCACUGCAACCUCCACCUCCUGGGUUCAAGGGAUUCUCCUGCCUCAGCCUCCCAAGUAGCUGGGACUACAGGCGCCCACCAUCAUGCCCAGCUAAUUUUUGUAUUUUUAGUAGAGACGGGGUUUCACUAUGUUGGCCAGGCUGGUCUUGAACUCCUGACCUCGUGAUCUGCCCGCCUCAGCCUCCCAAAGUGCUGGGAUUACAGGCAUGAGCCACUGCACCCGGCCUGUUCCCCUGAUAUUUCUAAGUCACUGUUUAUUAAAGCAUGUAAGCCUAAGCAUAAAAGUUAAUUUUUUUUUUAAGAGACAGGGUCUUGCUCUGUCACCUAGACUAUAGUGCAGUGGCGCCAUCACAGCUCACUGCAGCCUCAAACUCCUGAGCUCAAGCGAUCCUCCAGCCUUAGCCUGUGAGUAGCUGGAACUAUAGGCACACACCAUCAUGUCCAGCUAAGUUUUUUUAGUUUUUUAGG